rnacentral:lncRNA from 1 species
CCCAAAGGGAGGGAGUCCUUAGCAUGCUGGUGGGGCUGGGGCAGCCCAGUUGAAAAGCGCACAUGCUCCAUAUUUAGGUGGAUGGGUGUAUAGAUGUCGGUGGUCCAGGUACCACUACCCCCACAUCUUCUCCCUUGUAGGAUUGGAAUUGGUGACCUGGUUUGUGUUCUGAGGAUGACAGGUCAGGUAAGCUCGGGUAGAGAAAUCUUGAAUCAGACAAGAGAGAAUCCAGUCUUUUUCUUACCUGCUUGGCUGGCUUUGGAGCCUCUAGCUCAGGAUUUUUUCAUCAAGAGCCUUUGUAACCUCUCCCACUGCAGAUUACCUCAUGCUGUUGGAAAUCCAGGCCCCUGCUCUCACUCUAAAGGGGUGUCUUAUCUCUCACAAAGGACUGGAGACUCCUGCACAAGAGGGGCCUCAACUGCUUUUGUUUCACAACGUCCCCAUCCUUCCACAAAGACUCAAUGAUGGACUGACUAAAAAGCAUUCGGACCCAGGACACUUCUAUCUCUCCAGUACCCUCCUCCCAGAAGAGAGGAAGUACACAAGGAGACCUUGUCUUCUGUUGGAGAGAAGGGCCUUUCCCAAUGUCAUUUCUUCCUUGGGCAGAAGGCCUUCAAGUGGUCUAAACCAUAUCUUCAUUUGGAAAAUGGGAUUUAUAAUAAUAAUGAUCAUUAAUAAUAAUACCUGCCCUGCCCACCUGACAAGGAUAUUGAGAUGUUCGUAGCAGCACUUUGGAAAAUAAAAAGCAUUGUAUAUGUUCA